GAUGAACGCUGGCGGCGUGCCUAAUACAUGCAAGUCGAGCGAACGGACGAGAAGCUUGCUUCUCUGAUGUUAGCGGCGGACGGGUGAGUAACACGUGGAUAACCUACCUAUAAGACUGGGAUAACUUCGGGAAACCGGAGCUAAUACCGGAUGAUAUUUUGAACCGCAUGGUUCAAAAGUGAAAGACGGUCUUGCUGUCACUUAUAGAUGGAUCCGCGCUGCAUUAGCUAGUUGGUAAGGUAAUGGCUUACCAAGGCAGCGAUGCAUAGCCGACCUGAGAGGGUGAUCGGCCACACUGGAACUGAGACACGGUCCAGACUCCUACGGGAGGCAGCAGUAGGGAAUCUUCCGCAAUGGGCGAAAGCCUGACGGAGCAACGCCGCGUGAGUGAUGAAGGUCUUCGGAUCGUAAAACUCUGUUAUUAGGGAAGAACAUAUGUGUAAGUAACUGUGCACAUCUUGACGGUACCUAAUCAGAAAGCCACGGCUAACUACGUG
rnacentral:rRNA from 1 species